GCUGGGCACGGUGGCAUGUGCCUGUAGUCCCAGCUACUCGGGAAGCUGAGGUGGGAGGAUCGCUUGAGCCCAGGAGUUCUAGGCUGUAGUGCGAUAUGCCGAUCGGGUGUCCGCACUAAGUUCGGCAUCAAUAUGGUGACCUCCCAGGAGUGGGAGACCACCAGGUUGCCUAAGGAGGGGUGAACUGGCCCAAGUCGGAAACGGAGCAGGUCAAAACUCCCAUGCUGAUCAGUAGUGGGAUCGUGCCUGUGAAUAGCCACUGUACUCCAGCCUGGGCAACAUAGCGAGACCCUGUCUCU
rnacentral:SRP_RNA from 1 species